UACGAAGGGGGCUAGCGUUGCUCGGAAUCACUGGGCGUAAAGGGUGCGUAGGCGGGUCUUUUAAGUCAGGGGUGAAAUCCUGGAGCUCAACUCCAGAACUGCCUUUGAUACUGAAGAUCUUGAGUUCGGGAGAGGUGAGUGGAACUGCGAGUGUAGAGGUGAAAUUCGUAGAUAUUCGGAAGAACACCAGUGGCGAAGGCGACACACUGGCCCAUUACUGACGCUGAGGCUCGAAAGCGUGGGGGAGCAAACAGG
rnacentral:rRNA from 1 species